rnacentral:rRNA from 1 species
UAGAACGUCGUGAGACAGUUCGGUCCCUAUCUGCCGUGGACGUUGGAGAUUUGAGGAAAGCUGCUCCUAGUACGAGAGGACCGGAGUGGACGAACCUCUGGUGUUCGGGUUGUGUCGCCAGACGCACUGCCCGGUAGCUAUGUUCGGACAGGAUAACCGCUGAAAGCAUCUAAGCGGGAAGCCCCUUCCAAGAUGAGAUCUCCCUGGACCCUCGAGGUCCCUGAAGAGCCGUUCAAGACCAGGACGUUGAUAGGUCGGGUGUGUAAGCGCUGCGAGGCGUUGAGCUAACCGAUACUAAUUGCUCGUGCGGCUUGACUAUA